AGCAGUAGCCGCGGUAAAACGGAGGGUGCAAGCGUUAUCCGGAUUUAUUGGGUUUAAAGGGUCCGUAGGCGGAUCUGUAAGUCAGUGGUGAAAUCUCACAGCUUAACUGUGAAACUGCCAUUGAUACUGCAGGUCUUGAGUAAAUUUGAAGUGGCUGGAAUAAGUAGUGUAGCGGUGAAAUGCAUAGAUAUUACUUAGAACACCAAUUGCGAAGGCAGGUCACUAAGAUUUAACUGACGCUGAUGGACGAAAGCGUGGGGAGCGAACAGGAUUAGAUACCCCGGUAGUCCCUGUCUCUUAUAC
rnacentral:rRNA from 1 species